GGGUAGAAAAUUCCAAGCAGAUGAUUUUAUUGAGCAAUAGUCCUGAAAUGGGAGCCAGCAGGGUGAGUUUGAGGAAGCAGAGACCAGUGACGGCAAGGAGGGGGCAUGGAAAGCAAGCAGAGGAGGUGAACUCGCAGAGUUCCGGGCUACUGCCUCUGCACACCCAGACUAAAAGGCUACAAGAAAUAUAUUCACAGACCAAAUAAUAACUUAUGUGCCCAUUGCAGCAAGAGACUAACUUCAAAAUACCUAACUCUACCCUACAUUUCCAACCAAAGGAUGUUAACAAGAAAAUGAUGAACAGAUGAGAUCCAUUGUUUCCUCUCCAUCCAGAAUGUCCUCCUCCUAGACUUUCCCAUGGCUGGCUCCUUUCAUCCUUUAGUUGACAGUUUCAAUGUCACAUGCAGAAACAUCUCCUCUGACUACAGAACUUUACUGCCACUCCCAUCCCCGUGCUAACUACAAACCUCUCCAAUAAUCUCUAAUCUGUCUUCUCUGUUUUCUUUAUAGGGAGCACAUUCAACUUAUAAGACUGGGUUAUUUACUUGUUUUUCUCUUCUUGCUGCUGUAACCUAAGCCCCCAUCAUCUAUAUUCAGUCUCUAGUUGCCUAGCAGAGUUGGUGCUCAACAGCAGAAAUUCACUCAAGGUCAAAAACACUUAAAUUCCCAUGGGAAUGUCUCAAGCACCAAACCACUAGAUUCCUAGAUUUCUCUAGUAAUAGUCUGCUGAAACUCCAUGUUCCCCAAACUAGAAAUCCACAUGCCCACUUUGACUUUCCCAAACUUUUCUUGAUGCUACUGUCAUUUUAUUGUCCUCCAGGUUUACAUGAAGCAUCCUCAAUACUUAUUGAGCCACCGAAUACCCCUGUGGAUCACUUUAUUAUACAUUAGUGUACACACUUUCAGGUUUACCAAAUGCUUUCCAAUUUUUAGUGCAUUUAUUCAUUACACAUGCCUAAGAGGUACAUACUAGUACUCUUUAUAUGAAGGGCAUCACUCGACAUUCAAAUAGGUUAAAUAAUUUUUACCAGAAAUUCAUAGCUAGUAAGUAAAAGCAUGAGGAUAACAACAUGUCUUUUGACCAACUUGGUACUGGUAUCACGAUACAGCAACUGCUCCUAAGGAGCCAGGCCCCUUCAUCUCUUUCUACUGUUGUCACCUUAGAAUAGUCUUCUAUUGAGUACCAUAAAGCUACUCAAAGUUUUCUUUUUUGGAAUAUGAUUUAUACUUAAUAAAACACCACUAAACC